AGAAAUUAUGUUUAGAUGAAAACUCUUUUUUAUUUUUUAUUUAAGGGAAAAGGGCAAAAAAAAAAAAAAAAAAAAAAAAACUAGAUUGCGAUUGGUCUCCAUUCUUCGGAAACCAAACCUGUGCCUAGACAAGAUUCAAAUACCAAUACUUUUUCUUUCCGUUUCUCGAAUUUUCUCCACAACCAAACAGAUGAAAACCUAGGGCUUUGACGUUGUCAUCGGUGAAGCUGCUCAACCCACUCUUUUCCUGAGCGCGUGAGCAUCGCUUACCUAUCUGACGGUGUCUCGGGCCUCGUUACUCAUGGCCGACGAGUAGCAUCAUCGCAAACCAAAAGAGCGCGUGGAAUAGGGUGGAGGAGAGAGAAAAAGCGCAAGAGAGGAGAGAGAAACGUCCGGAUCUGUUCGUGCAUCAGAGUGUCACUUUCUAGGGUUUUUCUGUCCAGGAUCGAAACCCUAAUUCGGAUCAUCCUCUAAUCACCGAUUUUCCCUUUAGCUCGGCUAGUAAACUGCUUCUUUGCACCAUUUCUAUCCGAAACUAUAGUGCCGUACACGUUCGGAUCCGCAUACCGGAGAUAUCUGGGGUUUUUUAGCCGUCCUUAAUACGUCUGUCUCUGGGGCGCCGGUGAUCCGAAAUCCUUGCUGUGUGGAGAAAUCUAGGGUUUUGCUGGAGCUCCAGCAUUUGAUUCGUUGCAUGUAUGUAUGGCUUCGAGACCAUUAGGUAGUGAUGAUUCUAGGGAAAAGCAUCGGUGGCCUGAGAGUAACAAGGUCUAUACGCGGAAGCUCCACAACAAAGUCCUGAAGAACACAAACAACGUCAACACAUCCACUGCCGUCACCGCCAACACCGCCAACAAUAGCAAGAACAGCAACAUCAACGCUGCCCAGCAGUCUUCGCAAACCUUAGCGACGACUGAAGAUGGAAAAUCAUCACAGCCACAGAUCUUAUCACAGUUCGAUGCAGCCUCCGACGAUUCAUCGAGCCUUGAUCGGCCCCACGCUGGGCCACCAAACGGCUAUGAGCUACCCAAUGGAAAUGGAGUGAUGGGUUUAGUGAAGGUGGAUAAUAGAAUCAAGAUUAAUAAUUUGUUGGUGAGGUCGAAGAGUGAGAUUAGGGAUAUAAGGAGGAAGCUGGUUGGAGAGCUUGAUCAGGUGAGGAGCUGGGUGAAGAAACUUGAAGGUAGGGAGGUUCAGCUUAGUGGUUAUUCUGGUGUUGGAGGGUACAGUCAUUCUCAGGUGUCGGCAAAUGAUCUGAUAGAGAAGGGAGGAAGUGGGUUGAGGGGGAACUCUGAAGUGGGUUCUGUGGGACCACGCAAUUCGCGACCAUUUCGAGAGCUUAGUGUUUCAGUAAUGGAGAACAGCCAUGGGGUUAGUGAAUCUGCUGAGAAAGAGAAGAGAACACCAAAGGCUAAUCAAUAUUAUCGGAAUUCAGAAUUCUUGUUGGGAAAGGAUAAAUUCCCACCACCAGAGAGCAACAAGAAGUUGAAGUCUAAGAAACAUGGGGGAGAAGGGGCACAUGGGUUUGGGAUGGAUAAGAAUAUGAAUCAAGUGUUUAAGAGUUGUAACACUUUGCUAGCAAAAUUGAUGAAGCAUAAGCAUGGUUGGGUAUUUAAUGUACCGGUGGAUGUGAAGGGGCUAGGUUUACAUGACUAUUACACGAUCAUUAAACAACCAAUGGAUUUAGGUACGGUUAAGAGUAAGCUUAGCAAGAAUUGGUAUAAGUCACCUAGGGAGUUUGCAGAGGAUGUGAGACUUACGUUCUGCAAUGCCAUGACAUAUAAUCCAAGAGGGCAAAAUGUUCACAUCAUGGCAGAGGCUUUAUUGAAUAUGUUUGAAGAGAAGUGGGCAGCCAUCGAAGCAGAAUAUAAUCUUAAUUGGAGAUAUGGUGUGGGUCGUGAAGUGAGUUUACCAACUCCCACCUCAAGGAAGGCUCCCCCUCAUCUACCACCGCAGCCUCGCCCAGAAACAAGAACACUGGAUAGGUUGGAAUCUAUGACAAUGCCUGUUGAUUCCAAGUUGAAACCUGUGAGUUAUGCUUCAGUAGGUAGGACACCUGUCCCAAAAAAACCUAAAGCCAAGGAUCCCCAUAAAAGGGACAUGACCUAUGAAGAGAAGCAGAGGCUCAGCAUGAACCUUCAGAGUUUACCCUCAGAGAAGCUUGACAACAUUGUGCAGAUCAUUAAGAAGAGAAAUUCAGCACUUUCGCAACAUGAUGAUGAGAUCGAAGUUGACAUUGAUAGUGUUGAUGCAGAAACACUUUGGGAACUCGAUAGGUUUGUGACCAAUUACAAGAAGAGUUUAAGCAAGAACAAGAGGAAAGCUGAACUAACUCUUCAAGCUAGAGCCAAAACUAGCCGCACCCAUGAAACUAACCUAGCCCCAGCCAUGGUGGAACUACCAAAAGAAACUAAAACAGAUGAAAAGACAGUUUCCACUUCUCCUGGCCAAAAAGAAAAGCAGGGGGAUAAUGCAAGUCUUUCAAGUAGUUCAACCAGUUCCAGCAGUGAUUCUGGAUCGUCUUCAAGUGACUCUGAUAGUGGCAGUUCCUCUGCCUAUGGAUCAGAUGCGGGUCAUUCACCUGGGUCUCAAAGGAGUUAGUAAGUCCCAAUAUCUAUUAUUUUUGUGCUCUUUCAAAGAACAACUUCAACAGCAUGUCCGACUCCAUGCCGUAGAGGCUGUCAUGGCCUGCCGUGAGAUUGAGCAGACCUGAAAGGCUAUCACUGGCGAGCGGUGGCUCGUGGCGGACUACGGCGACUCGCAGAUGGCCUUCGUUGACUCGCAGAUGGGCUUUGGCGACUCGCAGCAGGGUUGAGGGAAAUUCGGAGUUUUGGGGAUUCUGCCUUAGGAUUUUUAGGGAAACCUUUUCUGCGCGAAGAAUCAGAUGCAGAAUUGGGGUUUUCUGGGCAAGGUUUUUAGUGACGGUUUGAAAGACGUCACUAAAACCCACAAUUAGCGACGAUUUUUAAAAAACUGUCACUAAAACACAACUAUUAGUGAUGAAAAUUUGUCCCUAGUAGUCAAUAAAUCGUUGCUAAUAUUUUUGUGUAAUGGUUUGAGCGGGAUACCUACUUUUAGUGAUGAAAGUAUUAGUGACGAAAUUAAAAUCAUCACUAAUACUGCAUUUUCCAUGAUGGUUAGUAGUUUCGUUACUAUCCUAAUUAUUAGUGACGAAUUUUAUUUUUGUCACUAAUGAAUCAUUAUUAGUGACGAUUUUAGCUCUGUCACUAAUGCCUCCGUCACUAAAAAAUCUUUUUUUUUUUUUCUUGUAGUGCUAGUCGACCACCUUGUACAAUUUUCCUUCUCUCCUUAUUUCAGCUUAAUUCUUGAAUUGUGCAGUUAAAUUAUGAAACAUUUGAUUAAAAAAUAGCUGUAAGAGAUAGAUACUACUUCAUGCGCAA